UCCGGUGGCGAUGCGCUUAGGGGACACACCCGUUCCCAUCCCGAACACGAUGGUUAAGACCUAAGCGGCCGAUGGUACUAUGCUGGAGACGGCAUGGGAGAGCAGGUGGCUGCCGGAU
rnacentral:rRNA from 2 species